CUGAAGUUCCAGAUCAUCGCUACGUGUUUCAGUUGUGCCUCCUUUUCUGGCCAGGUGCCAUCGAGUCCUGUCAUUCUGGCCCCCUCGGGUUCUUUGAAGGGAAGACCUACUGUGUUCAGGAGUGGAAGGCCACGGGGAGAGGGAAGGAGAGCAGGCCAGCCCUUAGGAGAGGGAGGUGUGCCGUGCGGGUGCCGCAGGGCGGGUGCUUCUGCAGAGCAGAGGGCGUCCCCGGCAAGAGCGUCCCACCGGCUGGUCUCCCUCUGCUCAAGGGUUGAAGCCGAAGAUUGGGAUCUUGAGCUGAAACCAGAGAGCACAGGAGGACGUCUCUCCUCGGCGAAGGACCAAGGAACGAUGGCCACCAAUGGGGUUCCAGAGGACACAGACAUCUCCGAAGUAGUACAGAGAAGAGGCGGGGGCGAGGGGCUAAGAGCAGACCUGGAGGCGAGUGAGGGUCAUGGCGGGGAAAGGCUGGUGGGGACAUGGCCGCCCCAGUGGGGGACUCGGUGGCAGGGAGAGGGCUUGGCACAGUGGUUGAGAGGCUAAUGGCAAAUGUCCCGUGAACACGUCAGGGAGUGCAGAG
rnacentral:lncRNA from 1 species